rnacentral:tRNA from 1 species
GGGUGUCACGGCCCGUGACCUUGGGGCUCGACUUCAUCUCGAGAAGUCGAGCGUCAGCCGGAUGCUGCGCAAGCUGGUGCAAUCCGGCGAUAUUGGC